rnacentral:rRNA from 1 species
AUUGAACGCUGGCGGCAUGCCUAACACAUGCAAGUCGAGCGGAAGAACGGAGCUUGCUCCUGGAUUCAGCGGCGGACGGGUGAGUAAUGCCUAGGAAUCUGCCUGGUAGUGGGGGAUAACGUCCGGAAACGGGCGCUAAUACCACAUACGACCUGAGGGUGAAAGUGGGGGAUCUUCGGACCUCACGCUAUCUGAUGAGCCUAGGUAGGAUUAGCUAGUUGGUGGGGUAAAGGCCUACCAAGGCGACGAUCCGUAGCUGGUCUGAGAGGCUGAUCAGUCACACUGGAACUGAGACACGGUCCAGACUCCUACGGGAGGCAGCAGUGGGGAAUAUUGGGCAAUGGGCGAAAACCUGAUCCAGCAAGGGCGCGUGUGUGAAGAAGGCCCUCGGAUUGUAAAGCACUUUAAGUUGGGAGGAACGGCAGUCAGCUAAUACCUUGCUGUUUUGACGGUACCAACAGAAUAAGCACCGGCUAACUACGUG